rnacentral:rRNA from 1 species
GACGAACGCUGGCGGCGUGCUUAACACAUGCAAGUCGAACGGAAAGGCCCUGCGCUUGCGGGGUGCUCGAGUGGCGCGCGCGUGUGUGACACGCGAGUAACCUGCCCUUGACUUUGGGAUAACUUUAGGAAACUGGGGCGAUAACACGAUAGGAGCUCUUGCUGCACGGGGGGCGUUAGUAAGUUUCGGCGGUUUGGGAUAGACUAGCGGCUUAUCCGCUUGAUGGUGAGGUAGGGGCUUACAAGGGCUACGACGGGUAGCCGGCCUUGGAGCGUGAACGGCCACAUGGCGACUGCGAUACGGCGCAGACGCCUACGGGAGGCAGCAGGGGGGAAUAUGGCACAGUGGGCGGAAGCCAGAGGCAGCAGCGCCGCGUGCGGGAUGACGUCCUUCGAGGUGUAAACCGCUUUCUCCUGUGACGAAGCGUGAGUGACGGUAAUGGGUAAAGAAGCACCGGCUAACUACGUG